GAUGAACGCUGGCGGCGUGCCUAAUACAUGCAAGUCGAGCGAACGGACGAGAAGCUUGCUUCUCUGAUGUUAGCGGCGGACGGGUGAGUAACACGUGGAUAACCUACCUAUAAGACUGGGAUAACUUCGGGAAACCGGAGCUAAUACCGGAUAAUAUUUUGAACCGCAUGGUUCAAAAGUGAAAGACGGUCUUGCUGUCACUUAUAGAUGGAUCCGCGCUGCAUUAGCUAGUUGGUAAGGUAACGGCUUACCAAGGCAACGAUGCAUAGCCGACCUGAGAGGGUGAUCGGCCACCCUGGAGCUGAGACACGGCCCAGACUCCUACGGGAGGCAGCAGUAGGGAAUCUUCCGCAAUGGGCGAAAGCCUGACGGAGCAACGCCGCGUGAGUGAUGAAGGUCUUCGGAUCGUAAAACUCUGUUAUUAGGGAAGAACAUAUGUGUAAGUAACUGUGCACAUCUUGACGGUACCUAAUCAGAAAGCCACGGCUAACUACGUG
rnacentral:rRNA from 1 species